GGGUUUGUAGCUCAGCCGGUUAGAGCACACGCUUGAUAAGCGUGGGGUCGGAGGUUCAAGUCCUCCCAGACCCACCA
rnacentral:tRNA from 1 species